rnacentral:rRNA from 1 species
ACUCAAAUGAAUUGACGGGGGCUCACACAAGCGGUGGAGCAUGUGGCUCAAUUCGAAGCAACGCGAAGAACCUUAUCCUGGGCUUGACAUGUACGGAUUAGGCCGUGGAAACACGACUGACACUCUUGUAGUGGAACGUACACAGGUGCUGCAUGGCUGUCGUCAGCUCGUGCUGUGAAGUGUCGGGUUAAGUCCCUUAACGAGCGAAACCCCUAUCUCUAGUUGCUAACGCGUCAUGGCGAGGACUCUAGCGAGACUGCCGGUGUCAAACCGGAGGAAGGUGGGGAUGACGUCAAGUCCUCAUGGCCUUUAUGCCCAGGGCUGCACACGUGCUACAAUGGCGUUUACAAAGCGAAGCGAGACCGCAAGGUGGAGCAAAUCGCAUAAAAAACGCCCCAGUUCAGAUUGGAGUCUGCAACUCGACUCCAUGAAGUUGGAAUCGCUAGUAAUCGGGGAUCAGCUACGCCCCGGUGAAUAUGUUCCUGAGCCUUGUACACACCGCCCGU